CGGAUCAAAUUCACAUGGCCUCGUCGGCCCCGCGCCGGAAAAUGCCGAAAAUCACGAGCCCCAAUCCCAAUCACGACAGAACCAACAGCUACUACGAGCAAAGAAGCCCAACCACGGUUUCCGGUCGCAAUUGAAGGCCCAGCCCCAACGUGGUUACAAUUGCAGGCCAUGCAAACGCCUCGCACCUCAGCUUGCAGGCCAUGCUUCUUGGGUACACCAGCAAUUGGAAACAGCACGGACCAUGCAUGAGAAAGAGAGCGUAGCAGG